rnacentral:rRNA from 1 species
AGAGUUUGAUCAUGGCUCAGGAUGAACGCUAGCGGCAGGCCUAAUACAUGCAAGACGAACGGUAAGUUGAGUAGCAAUACUUAGCCAAGAGUGUCGUACGGGUGCGUAACACGUAUGCAACCUACCCUAUACAGGAGGAUAGCCUAGGGAAACCUGGAUUAACCCUUCAUAGUAUUAUUGGAUGGCAUCAUUUGAUAAUUAAAACUGAGGUGGUAUAGGAUGGGCAUGCGUCUGAUUAGUUAGUUGGCGGGGUAAUGGCCCACCAAGACGAUGAUCAGUAGGGGUUCUGAGAGGAAGGUCCCCCACACUGGCACUGAGAUACGGGCCAGACUCCUACGGGAGGCAGCAGUAGGGAAUAUUGGUCAAUGGAUGCAAGUCUGAACCAGCCAUGCCGCGUGCAGGAAGAAGGCCUUCUGGGUUGUAAACUGCUUUUGCCAGGGGAUAAAAUUUCCAUGCGUGGAAAACUGAAGGUACCUGGUGAAUAAGCCACGGCUAACUACGUG